UGUCCCGCGGGGCAGGGGGGCGCCGCGUUGAUUUCCGGCUGCGGCGGGGCGAGCCCGGCCACGUUAACGCGGUGGAGGUGCUGGAGGUUUGAUGUUAGGCGGGUGCAAAACGCUGGGAGCCGCGAGUGCGGAGCGAGGCUCGCAGGACAAUUCUGGGCCACUGCGCCUGUGAAGAAUUUAUGUCCCCCAGAAGAUUUCUGUGCUUCCCCACAGAAAAAUGACUUUCUGAGGGGGGAGAAAAAGGAAGCCACAAGAGCAGUCAUGUGACCCUCCACAGCAGUAUUUUUUGGGUGCCCAGGGCAACUAACAGAGAGGUAAAUCACUGUGGGGUAGAGGGAUGGGACUGGGGAAGACCUGGCUGGUGACUCUUACCGUGUGCCAGGAUCAGCUACUAGUCUUGGUUCAACUAGGGAGGAGAGGACUUCCACUUUCUGUGCAUGGCACAUGGGAGUGGGUCAGACCCACUCCCACAUUUCCCCAGCUGCAGGAAGCUCUGCAAACUCUCCCUGCCCCACUUGUUUCCUGCACGGAUUGCUCCUCAGCUGCAGGGGGAAGGAUACCUGUACAGGGAGUUGCUCCCCAUCCACCCAACCUCUGUGCAUCCAGACCCUCUCAUACCUCACCAAGCCUGACUCCCCCACACUCAGAACCACACCAGUGAGCCCCCUUCACCUGGACUACGCUGAUGAGCCACUCACACCCGGAUCCCAACCCCACUGAGCCCCAACCAGUUGCACCUGGUUCCCCACCCCACUGAGCCUUGCUCCCCCAGUAUCUGGAUGGCCCCACUGAUGCCCCCACACCUAGACUUCCCUGCUGAACUCUAUCCCUCAUAUACACACAGACCCCCCCCCCCUGCUUAGCCCCAACCAUUUUCAUCUGGACCCCAUGCAAAAUCCCAUUACCAUUGCACACAGAACCUCCCCCAACAAGCUCCUGUGCAUCCAUAUUCCCCCCACACCUGGAUCCCGCACUGAACUGCCUGCAUCCAGAUUGCCCCACACAGAACCUUCUCAACCCACACCUGGGUCCCCCACACUAAGCCUCUCUACAUGUCUUGCCAAGCUUGCCUGCCCACAGCUGGUGCACCUGGCACAGAGGGGCAGGGCCCUGUGGUAUUUCUGGGGAAUGCCAGGUCCUUUUGCUAUGUCAGGGUUGUGUGCAGCCUCACCACUGAGUCCAUGAGAGCUGCACAGUGAUCUCCCACCUCUGUGCAGCCAGUGGCCUUUGCUCCCCAAUGCUAUGCUGGAGCAUCCACAUUUAUUUGACAAAAUUUGCAGAAUUUUAAAAUAUUGUGCACACAAGUUUUACUUUUUUGACACAGAAUGCGCUCAGGAGUAAUCUUGUAUUCUUUGCCUUCUAGUUUCAGAGACUCUAGGGUACACUCAGUUUAUGUUUUCAAGAUUUUCUCUGCAACAAUGGAGGCAAGAAACUUUUCUCCAAAUGCUUGCAGGAUUGUGGGACCAUUGGGCCUGACUUUUAGAGGUGACAAGCAUCUGCAACUCCCAGCUGAAGUCGAUGGGAAAUUCAAAUGCUCAGCACCUUUGAAAAUUAGGCCUUGAGGGUCAAAUCCUACUCACCUUACUUGCAUGAGUGCUCUUACUGAAGUAAAUCAGUGGCAUUAGUUAUGGGAGUAGGGUGAGGGCAGGUUUUGGCUUUAAAAAGGGAAAUGCCUUUGAAUUGUUUUACCAGAAUAAUUCAUAACAGUUGUCUAGCUGACAAUGUGAAGUGAUUUUAAAUUGUUGCUUUCUGUAAUAAGUAAUUUUUUCCAUAAUUAAUAUGUUACAUUUGAGUAUAGCAUUGUGAAGUUGGAGGUGGAUGCUUUUUAUAGUGUGGUUGAUUUGAAAUAGCACCUUGAAAUAUGCAACGUAAGUCAUCAUGAGAAAAAUGGAGCACUUUCUCUAGUCUCCAAGUUAACCAAAAUGAAGGAAGUGUACCUCAGAUGAGAUUUUAUAAGUAUUUGUACUUUGUCAGUACCCUGUCAUCUCCUGCUAUUUGGAUAAAAAACUGUUUGAUUCUCAUGACUUUGAAAAUUACUUUAGAAAAGCAAGUAUCAGAGGAUGUAUUCUGCAAUUUAUGGAGUUCUGCACUUCUGUCCUGAAGUCACUGAGGCUGUGCGUGCAAGGUUCUACCUGUGCAGUGCAAAUUGCAGUAUCUGGCCCUAAAUCGCUACCUUUUUUAUAGCGGUAUUUAAAAUAAUCUACAUAACUUUUUUGCAUUGGUUUCAAAAUCAGAUAGGCUUGUGUUUGAUUCAGUUUACAGCAAGCAUUGGUACAAAAUCAGAAAAAAAAAUUAGGGGAAAGGAGUAUUGUUAGUUUUUACCUUAGAUUUAAAAACAGUUACUUGUAAUACUUAAAUCUUCCAAGACAGACCUGUAAUUUUGUUCAUCAAUGUUUUUUGUUAUUUGCUUAUCUACUCAUGGAAGUUUAUUGUAUGGACCAUCAUAGCUUGAUUUUCUUAAUAUAAGUAAUGUGAGCUUUAUUUUUGUAUAAUAAAUGAAAACAACAUAACUUCUAAAUAUUAUCUCCAGUUAAUGGUUACCUCCCCAGAGCAUUAUUAGAGUUACUCUUGUUGUGGCAAAUCUAGCAUGUUAUACUUUUUAUAAUUUCGUGUUCUACUGAUCAGCGAUACUUAUUGUAAAUACCUUUUCCCGUAAAUACUGGCUACAGUAUUUGUUUAAACUUGCAAAAUCUUGCACAACUUUUAUCUAGUUUGACUAUUUUAUAGACUUGUUUGCUCAAGUAUUGCACACAGAUGGACUGGCAAGUAAAGGUUCUGUCUUCACCACAACCAUUGCGGAACUAUUAACUAUGGUUUGUAACUUGUCCUUUAAAUCAGCUUCUGUACUCAAUGACUGGAAGAUUGCUAAUGUAAUGCCAAUAUUUAAAAAGGGCUCUAGAGAUGAUUCCGGCAAUUACAGACUAGUAAAUCUAACAUCAGUACCGAGCAAAAAAUUGUCAGACACAUAGAAGAAUAUAGCUCGUUGGGCAAAAGUCAACAUGGUUUCUGUAAAGGGAAAUCAUGUCUUACUGAUCUAUUAGAGUUCUUUGAAGGGGUCAACAAACAGGUGAACAAGGGGGAUGCAGUGGACAUAGUGUACUUAGAUUUCCAGAAAGCCUCUGACAAUGUCCGUCACCAAAGGCUCUUAUGUAAAUUAAGUUGUCAUGGAAUAAGAGGGAAGAUCCUUUCAUGGACUGAGAACUGGUUAAAAGACAGGGAACAAAGGGUAGGAAUAAAUGAUAAAUUUUCAGAAUUGAGAGGGGUAACUAGUGGUGUUCCCCCAGAGUCAGUCCUAGAAUCAAUCCUGUUCAACUUAUUCGUAAAUGAUCUGGAGAAAGGGGUAAAGAGUGAGGUGGCAAAGUUUGCAGAUGAUACUAAACUGGUCAAGAUAGUUAAGACCAAAGCAGACUGUGAAGAACUUCAAAAAGAUCUCACAAAACUAAGUGAUUGGGCCACAAAAUGGCAAACGAAAUAUAAUGUGGAUAAAUGUAAAGUAAUGCACAUUGUAUAGGUGGGAUUAUUUUUUCCAUACAAUAUGAUGGGGGGCUACUUUAGCUACAACUAAUUAGGAAAGAGAUCUUGGAGUCAUCAUGGAUAGUUCUCUGAAGACGUCCACGCAGUGUGCAGUGGCAGUCAAAAAAGCAAACAGGAUGUUAGGAAUAGUUAAAAAGGGGAUAGAGAAUAAGAUGGAGAAUAUCUUAUUGCCCUUAUACAAAUUGGUGGUACGUCCAGAUCUUGAAUACUGCAUACAGAUGUGGUCUCCUCAUCUCAAAAAAGAUAUACUGGCAUUAGAGUUCAGAAAAGGGCAACUAAAAUGAUUAGGGGUUUGGAAUGGGUCCCAUAGGAGGAGAGAUUAGAGAGGCUAGGACUUUUCAGCUUGGAAAAGAGGAGACUAAGGGGGGAUAUGAUAGAGGUAUAUACAAUCAUGAAUGGUGUUGAGACAGUCAAUAAGGAAAAGUUAUUUACUUGUUGCCAUAAUAUAAGAACUAGAGGCCACCAAAUGAAAUGAAUGAGCAGCAGGUUUAAAACAAAAGGAAGUUCUUCACACAGCUCACAAUCAACCUAUGGAAUUCCUUGCCUGAGGAAGUUGCGAAGGCUAGGACUAUAACAAGGUUUA